UACGGGGGAUUCGAGCGUUAUCCGGAUUUAUUGGGUUUAAAGGGUGCGUAGGCGGAACUUUAAGUCAGUCGUUAAAUCUUAUUGGCUUAACCAUAAUUUGCGAUUGAUACUGAUGUUCUUGAAUACAAUUGAAGUAAGUGGAAUGUCGUCAUGUAGCGGUGAAAUGCUUUGAUAUGACACAGAACGCCAAUCACGAAAGUAGCUUACUAAAUUUUUAUUGACGCUAAUGCACGAAAGCAUGGGUAGCAAACAGG
rnacentral:rRNA from 1 species